CUAGCUUGAUUGGAGAAAAAUUGGUGACGUGCAAGCCAAUAAACUUGUGGGUACAUGAUGGACUCAAAGUGAAAAAGGAAAGCGGAAAUGAAAAAGUAAAGAUAAUAGACUGUGGUGGUGUGCCGGAGGAAAUAACGAGCAACUAGCAAGUAGAAAUAGCUAGAUACGCCUCCGAACUAAUAGAGAUGUAAUAUCCCGCUAUCGUAAGAUUCGAAAGUAGUUGGGACCUAGAUUGAAUUGUCCAUUUGUAUUUGCGAUUUGGUAAGUACCAUGGUAUCCUGCAACUUCACCCAUGCCCAGAGUCACUCUGCUGAUAGUCAAGGUCUCUUGUCAGUGUAUAUAUAUUUACUGAAAUAUAAAUUAUGAGAUUGUUAUGCACUCUGUAUAUUGAUUGAUUACCCUUAUCGAUUAGGGUUGAAGAAUGAUAACAGUAU